UAAUCUCAGCUGGUAAUUAUGAG
rnacentral:miRNA from 1 species